rnacentral:rRNA from 1 species
AGAGUUUGAUCCUGGCUCAGGAUGAACGCUGGCGGCGUGCCUAAUACAUGCAAGUCGAGCGAACGGACGAGAAGCUUGCUUCUCUGAUGUUAGCGGCGGACGGGUGAGUAACACGUGGAUAACCUACCUAUAAGACUGGGAUAACUUCGGGAAACCGGAGCUAAUACCGGAUAAUAUUUUGAACCGCAUGGUUCAAAAGUGAAAGACGGUCUUGCUGUCACUUAUAGAUGGAUCCGCGCUGCAUUAGCUAGUUGGUAAGGUAACGGCUUACCAAGGCAACGAUGCAUAGCCGACCUGAGAGGGUGAUCGGCCACACUGGAACUGAGACACGGUCCAGACUCCUACGGGAGGCAGCAGUAGGGAAUCUUCCGCAAUGGGCGAAAGCCUGACGGAGCAACGCCGCGUGAGUGAUGAAGGUCUUCGGAUCGUAAAACUCUGUUAUUAGGGAAGAACAUAUGUGUAAGUAACUGUGCACAUCUUGACGGUACCUAAUCAGAAAGCCACGGCUAACUACGUGCCAGCAGCCGCGGUAAUACGUAGGUGGCAAGCGUUAUCCGGAAUUAUUGGGCGUAAAGCGCGCGUAGGCGGUUUUUUAAGUCUGAUGUGAAAGCCCACGGCUCAACCGUGGAGGGUCAUUGGAAACUGGAAAACUUGAGUGCAGAAGAGGAAAGUGGAAUUCCAUGUGUAGCGGUGAAAUGCGCAGAGAUAUGGAGGAACACCAGUGGCGAAGGCGACUUUCUGGUCUGUAACUGACGCUGAUGUGCGAAAGCGUGGGGAUCAAACAGGAUUAGAUACCCUGGUAGUCCACGCCGUAAACGAUGAGUGCUAAGUGUUAGGGGGUUUCCGCCCCUUAGUGCUGCAGCUAACGCAUUAAGCACUCCGCCUGGGGAGUACGACCGCAAGGUUGAAACUCAAAGGAAUUGACGGGGACCCGCACAAGCGGUGGAGCAUGUGGUUUAAUUCGAAGCAACGCGAAGAACCUUACCAAAUCUUGACAUCCUUUGACAACUGUAGAGAUAGAGCCUUCCCCUUCGGGGGACAAAGUGACAGGUGGUGCAUGGUUGUCGUCAGCUCGUGUCGUGAGAUGUUGGGUUAAGUCCCGCAACGAGCGCAACCCUUAAGCUUAGUUGCCAUCAUUAAGUUGGGCACUCUAAGUUGACUGCCGGUGACAAACCGGAGGAAGGUGGGGAUGACGUCAAAUCAUCAUGCCCCUUAUGAUUUGGGCUACACACGUGCUACAAUGGACAAUACAAAGGGCAGCGAAACCGCGAGGUCAAGCAAAUCCCAUAAAGUUGUUCUCAGUUCGGAUUGUAGUCUGCAACUCGACUACAUGAAGCUGGAAUCGCUAGUAAUCGUAGAUCAGCAUGCUACGGUGAAUACGUUCCCGGGUCUUGUACACACCGCCCGUCACACCACGAGAGUUUGUAACACCCGAAGCCGGUGGAGUAACCUUUUAGGAGCUAGCCGUCGAAGGUGGGACAAAUGAUUGGGGUGAAGUCGUAACAAGGUAGCCGUAUCGGAAGGUGCGGCUGGAUCACCU